rnacentral:tmRNA from 1 species
GCAAUUGAUUUUUUCGUAAAUUCGCCUAUAUUCGUCCUGUCGGCUUAGCGGCUGACUAUGGCGAUAAAUGGCGCCGUGAAAUAGGCAUAUUGGACCCGGGGGCGGUACCCGGCAGCUCCACCACAGGCUUCGCCUGACCUUGAAAAAGGCGAAGUCUUUGAUGGGGCUGAAAUAGGAUCGACAUGUGCUGAAAGACGGUGGUUUUGCCCGGCCUGAAUACGCCGUAAAAGUUUUCAAACUCAAUAAAUGCUAACGAUAACGAAGCAUUUGCGAUGGCCGCCUAACCCAAGUCCUUUUUCGAGGAUUAGGUUAGUACGACUUAAGCACGGUUCGGGGCGCACCGGGUAACAGAAGCGUCAGUCCAGCGGUCCGGAGGGCACCGGGCAACAGAAGCCCUCCAUU